AGUGAACGCUGGCGGUAGGCCUAACACAUGCAAGUCGAACGGCAGCACAGUAAGAGCUUGCUCUUACGGGUGGCGAGUGGCGGACGGGUGAGGAAUACAUCGGAAUCUACUUUUUCGUGGGGGAUAACGUAGGGAAACUUACGCUAAUACCGCAUACGACCUACGGGUGAAAGCAGGGGAUCUUCGGACCUUGCGCGAUUGAAUGAGCCGAUGUCGGAUUAGCUAGUUGGCGGGGUAAAGGCCCACCAAGGCGACGAUCCGUAGCUGGUCUGAGAGGAUGAUAGGCCACACUGGAACAGAGACACGGUCCAGACACCUACGGGAGGCAGCAGUGGGGAAUAUUGGACAAUGGGCGCAAGCCUGAUCCAGCCAUACCGAGUGGGUGAAGAAGGCCUUCGGGUUGUAAGCCCUUUUGUUGGGAAAGAAAAGCAGCAGGUUAAUACCCCGCUGUUCUGACGGUACCCAAAGAAUAAGCACCGGCUAACUUCGUG
rnacentral:rRNA from 1 species